UACGAAGGGGGCUAGCGUUGCUCGGAAUCACUGGGCGUAAAGGCGCGUAGGCGGCCAUUCAAGUCGGGGGUGAAAGCCUGUGGCUCAACCACAGAAUUGCCUUCGAUACUGUUUGGCUUGAGUAUGGUAGAGGUCAGUGGAACUGCGAGUGUAGAGGUGAAAUUCGUAGAUAUUCGCAAGAACACCAGUGGCGAAGGCGGCUGACUGGACCAUUACUGGACGC
rnacentral:rRNA from 1 species